UACGAGUGAGAACAUACUAAACAAUUUUAAAUGUUCCUUUUAAAAUAAAAUUGCAAUAGGAGACUUGCUUACAGGAAAGAUACAUUGUGUUUACAUAUACUGAUGUUUGCUAUAAUUCUCUAGAUGAAUAGGUAAAUUUUCUAGUGCCAUGUUAGUGUGUGAGAUGAAUAUAUAAUUUACCAGAAUUCAUUUUAAUUUUUACUCUUAAUACCAGCAAUAGUUUUUCAUCAAAAGGAUGGUAGAAUACGAAUUUCAUUUAGAUUGUAUGGGAAAUAUUUUUACAUCUGAUGAAUAAAACUGCCUAGCAGAACAAUUUUACAUAGUUUUAUUGUAGUAUCAAUAGAUAAUUAAGCCCAGUCUUAAAAAUAUGGCAAUUUAUGUAAUUCAUUCCAAAUAAAAUCUUUAAACUAGCAUGUAUAAUGAUGUCUUUUGUCCUUACCCCUAUCCUGGUACAUUUUUAAAGUUUAUGUUCUUGUUCUAUAGUAGCAAUUAUAUUCCAUUAUAACUUUUAAUAGAUGAUGGUUUAGAGUCUUAACGUUUUCCCAUUCUUUCAGUCUCAGUUUUGAAGAGGAAACAACUAUAGAUAAUGUAUAAAUAGUAAGCUGAGGUAUGACUAUUGAUUCUAUCCUCAGCAUAGGAUGUUUAGCCCAUUCUUUUUCUGUUGAAUUCUAGUGGUGCUUAUUAUAACUUGUAAAAAAAAAAAAAAAAAAAGGAAGCAAUGAGAAAAGAAUAAAACAAAGAACAAAAAGAAAACUAAAGAUGCAUUCUGCUGUUUAGGGAGCAGUGUUAGGUAUCUCUCUGAAAGGACUUGAAGGGCAGUGAUGGUAAUGAUGCAUUCAUAAUGACAUGGAGAGACCCUUUCCUUCGAGAUGUCUUGCUAAACUUUGAAUUCAUGACAGUGUAUACCUAAAGUAAUAUUUCUUCUGGCUAUCUGGAAUUUAUUUAUUUACCUAAAAUUUGAAGUCAGAAGAUUUCAAGUACUUAAAAUAUUUUUUUCUUUCUGAAAGAAGGAUACUUUAAAAAUCUUGUCUACAAGUCUGGACUGAUUAAAACAACUCGUUUUCAGGAAUAAUCUUACUACUUUAAAGUUGUUGGUGCCCUUUAAAUUCUUGCUACCCUUUGGCCUCAAAACAGAAAGAUAAAUACUUGAUAAUGUUAUCAUUAGUAAUAAAAAUUAAGGGGAGUGGAAUGGAGGAGAUUAGGUAUUGGAGCACCUUUACUAAGAUUCAGUUAGUGUGGAUUCCUUCAUUAAAAUACCAAAAUGUGUAAAGCAGUAUUGUUUCCUAUCAAAGUCUUAAAGGUGUUCAAAUGUCACGUGGGCUCUUAAAAGAGUAAAGACUCUGUGGGCUGUAUGCCUAGCCCUAUACGCUGUUCAGGGAAGAAUGUCUACACACAGUCAGAAACUCUGCCCACGGGCUCAUUGUUCUAACUGGUAGAUGUUUAUUGUAAACUCUGGAAGGAGAAGGUAUGUGCUGCCUUCAGGAUACAGUUGCUGUGCUGUCCUAUACAUUUUCAAUUUUAUUUCAUUUUUAAAAAGUAACUUUAUAUACUAGAUAUUGAAGCAAUAUGUUUUUAAUGUAUUAGUGAAACAGCUUUCAAGAUGAGUGAUUAAAUAUAGACAGAAAUAAUCUUGUAAAAAUUAAUCCCUCUUAAAUCAGUUUAUCAAAAUGGAGGCCUGAUUGGGAGAGUGGUGUGUUGGUAGUUAUAUUUAGUUGUUUUUUUUGUGCUUUAAAAAUUUUAUUAGUGGUCAUCUAUAAUUGCCUCCCUAUUUACAAAGUAGCAUCUUUUUACUCAAUCUCAGCCAAAUUAAGGCCUAAUAAGAGACAGUCUAGGGUGGUGGCUAAAAGCAUGGCCUUUCAGUAGCUCUGUGACCUAGAAUUGUAAAUGUACUUCAUAGCCAUGUUAUAAAGAUGGAAUACAGUGCAUAGAAAGCUCUUAGCUCAAUGCCUGGCACAUAAUAAAUGCUCAGGAUAUUGGCUGCUAUCACUAUUAUUGAUGUUGCUGCUUUGUAAUUUGUUUAAAUUUUAAAAAGAAAGAUCCAUGUUUUCCUGAAUAGAAAAAGUGUCUUUCGAAAUGAAUAGAAGACAUGACAUUAUUAGGAAUUCAAUUCUGGUGUUUUCUAAUACAUUAAGUUUUGCCGCCUUAAUGUAUUAGAAAUCAUAUUUUAUGUAACAAAGUAGUAGCUUUACAAACACUCUAGGUAAUUUUAAGAUCACAUACUUUCUACUAUAUUUGGAAUUUACAGAGUAAUGAGAAUGCCCUCAAAGUGGCUUCAUGCCUCUCCGAUUUGCUAAAAUAUUUUAAUAUUUUUCCUCUAAUCUGUUUCUCAAGAGGCACUAUGACCUGAGUUGAAAGCGUGACCAGAUGCUUCCAUUUACCAGUGGUUUGAUUUUGGGCAAGUGGCUUAAUUUGUAGGGAUUUAGAUUUCAUUAUUUUUAACCUGUAGGGUCUGAGGCUAAAUGGUUUCUAAGGUUUCUUUCAAUUCUAAAAAUCUGUUUCCAAAAAAUAAUUCCUCAGUUUUCCAGGUGGCACAACUCACCCUUAUCUGCUAAUGAAGAAAUAAUACACAACAGUAGAUUCAUAGCUCAUGGCAAUAUGGCUUUCUAGUCUAUUGAAGAGUGUUAUAUGGCUGAAGACCUUCAGAAAAUUUAUGUCCUUUCAUGAUCUGCAGAAUUGGUCAUUUGUGUUUUCUUUUUUGAGAAGAACAGAGUGUGCCCAGGACAGCAAAUUUGGCGUUCUGGGUUUAUUUAGUGCAUUUGGGAAAUUGAAGAAAUCACUGCACAUUUGGCUCUUUGUGCUAUUGAAUGAGCUAGAUUUGAUGUCAGAAAAGCCAUAAGCAGCGCAGUCCUUGCACUCUUGUUGAUAAACAUGUCCCCAGAUAUUGAUGAGAGGUUUAUGAUUUUUAGACAGAAAUCAUAUACCUGCAUUUCAGGUCAUGCUGUCACAAAUUCAUCCUAAAGAGUUAUAGAUCUACUGAUACUCCAUGCCACCUUCUAAACUAUAUGUGAAUGGAACACAAAGCAACUGGAAAAUUCCACCAUGACUGACUUGAGGGCUCAGCAGCUAUUCAUCACUGAUCAAGUAGGUUUAGACAGCAACACUGAAUUGGGUAAAAAUUGACUCCCAGACUUCACAGGGAUCUUCAGUAGAGAUACUGUGUGGAAAUGCAAGUAAGUAGGUAACAUCUGGGUGAGUUUGCUGAAAUGAGGAGAAACCUAUAGCAAAAGAGUAAAAUGUUUGUGCCAUAUUAGUUUAUCAUGAGUUAAAAGCCAAUCCUAAGGGAGACUGUCAACUAGCUAAUAAGCCUUUUAUAUACAUGUAAUAUAUUUUGGCAAAAAAUGUUCUUUUUUGCUUAUUGGAAAUUUUUGUUUGUUUAAAACUAAGAGCAUUUGGAUAUUUUGAAUCUAAAGCAUAGUAAAGUGAUUAUUAUAUCCUACCAGAUACUCUUUUGAUGUUGAUAUAGAUACUUUGCUUUUAUAUUCAGUAAUAUUUUAUCACAGUUAAAAGAUUUCAUCAUAACUCUAGUGUGUUUUAGUGAUUCAGCUCAGCUCAGUCUUGAUUUUAGCUAGAAACCCAGGUGAAUCUCCAUUUUCCUGUUUUCAGAUGUAAUGUUUAACCAUAACAGAAGCUGAUUUUUAAACCAGUAACUUCUUCACCUUCCCAUCCCCACUUCUUUUUAUUAAAUUUUAAAGAUGUAACCUGGUUUUGUUGUAUACUUAAGUCAGGAGUCCUUUCUCCAUUCUGUACACAGUUACUGGUUUUUUGAGUGAUGUAUAUACAAGUCGAUUAAACUUCUUACAGCAUAAAGAGAGAAAGUUAAAACUUAAUUUGGAGGGCAUACUCGUAGACCUUGCCUGACUGUGCUCAUGGCCAGGCAGGGGGGACAGUGUAUGCAAGAAUAAUUUGGAGUUCCUGCCAGCUCUAACCAGCUUCAUCAGUGGCUGGAUAAAUUGCAGGACUCUUAACAUAUCCC